CGUCCCCGAAUCCGGUUUAUGUUCGAUGGGGAGAAAAGAAAAACGAAGAAGCAGCCGGUUUCAGGAGGGGUAUUUCACUCCGCGCUGGAGCGGGUCGGGAGCGGGUCGGGCCGGCCGGGGCUCGGCACUGCCGCUGCCAGGGAGGAUUUGGACAUUUUCCGGUCGCUAGAAGAGACAUCCUCGGAAUCUGCGGAGACACAGGCAGCGGCCGUGGGCUUGGGGCUCCCUCCCCGCCGGGGAACCCCGGCCAGGGCAGGGCACGGCGGCUCCGCUGCCUCCGGCGGCUCCGGCCGAAGGUUUCGUUGUGAUCGCGCGGCAGAUGGGGCCCGUCGCCGGCCGCUCCCUCCAGCCCAGAGCGGCCUCAGCCCCGGGCUCAGCUCUGCUCCCAGUGCCGCCGCCGAUGCUGCUCCCGGUUCGGGAGGUUUGGGGCGAUUCGCCCCAGCCAGGGAAGGCUCCGAGCCGGGAUCGUGGUCUUGCUUUCUCCCAUAUCCCCCGGAGUCGUUUGCUGGGGCUGCUGUUGUCGCGCUGCUAAAAUGCAGAGCCCGACAAGCACAACAAAAUCGUAGGAGAAAGGGGGAGCUGUAUGCCCCUUCCCGCUGCUGGGCACUCACGACCACCUGCUCCGGCCCGGGGAUGCUGGACUUGCCCGCAGAAGCCCGGGAGCAGGCGGAGGAGGGGGGGUGGGGAAAGAGGUUUAUGGAGCCACAAGGAGGGGAAAAAUAAACCUGGGAAGAGCUGGUGUCUGCCCGCGGCCCUCUGCUCCUCAGGGGCACCUGUGUCGGAGGAUAUUAAGGGGAGCGAGAUGCUGCCUUUGCCCCGAAGGAGCAGCCGUGGGGGCAGAAGCGGGACCCUCAAUUCGAUGCGUGCCGCUGUGUCGCACUAGGGCUGGCCCCGCGCUCAGGCCCUGGCGCUCCGUGACUCGCCCGGCACCGGCCCCGGGCUGUCCGGCUUGC